rnacentral:rRNA from 1 species
AAAGCACUUUUGUCCGGAAAGAAAACCUUUGGGCUAAUACCCUGAGGGGAUGACGGUACCGGAAGAAUAAGCACCGGCUAACUACGUGCCAGCAGCCGCGGUAAUACGUAGGGUGCGAGCGUUAAUCGGAAUUACUGGGCGUAAAGCGUGCGCAGGCGGUUCGUUAAGACAGAUGUGAAAUCCCCGGGCUUAACCUGGGAACUGCAUUUGUGACUGGCGAGCUAGAGUAUGGCAGAGGGGGGUAGAAUUCCACGUGUAGCAGUGAAAUGCGUAGAGAUGUGGAGGAAUACCGAUGGCGAAGGCAGCCCCCUGGGCCAAUACUGACGCUCAUGCACGAAAGCGUGGGGAGCAAACAGGAUUAGAUACCCUGGUAGUCCACGCCCUAAACGAUGUCAACUAGUUGUUGGGUCUUCAUUGACUUAGUAACGUAGCUAACGCGUGAAGUUGACCGCCUGGGGAGUACGGUCGCAAGAUUAAAACUCAAAGG